GAUGAACGCUGGCGGCGUGCCUAAUACAUGCAAGUCGAGCGAACAGACGAGGAGCUUGCUCCUCUGACGUUAGCGGCGGACGGGUGAGUAACACGUGGAUAACCUACCUAUAAGACUGGGAUAACUUCGGGAAACCGGAGCUAAUACCGGAUAAUAUAUUGAACCGCAUGGUUCAAUAGUGAAAGACGGUUUUGCUGUCACUUAUAGAUGGAUUCGCGCCGCAUUAGCUAGUUGGUAAGGUAACGGCUUACCAAGGCAACGAUGCGUAGCCGACCUGAGAGGGUGAUCGGCCACAAUGGAACUGAGACACGGUCCAGACUCCUACGGGAGGCAGCAGUAGGGAAUCUUCCGCAAUGGGCGAAAGCCUGACGGAGCAACGCCGCGUGAGUGAUGAAGGUCUUCGGAUCGUAAAACUCUGUUAUUAGGGAAGAACAAAUGUGUAAGUAACUAUGCACGUCUUGACGGUACCUAAUCAGAAAGCCACGGCUAACUACGUG
rnacentral:rRNA from 1 species